CCUACGGGUGGCAGCAGUGAGGAAUAUUGGUCAAUGGGCGCGAGCCUGAACCAGCCAAGUAGCGUGCAGGAUGACUGCCCUACGGGUUGUAAACUUCUUUUAUUAAGGAAUAAAGUGAGGCUCGUGUGCCUUUUUGUAUGUACUUUAUGCAUAAGAAUCGGCUAAAUCCGUGCCAGCAGCCGCGGUAAUACAGAGGAUCCGAGCGUUAUACGGAUUUAUUGGGUUUAAAGGGAGCGUAGAUGGGUUGUUAAGUCAGUUGUGAAAGUUUGCGGCUCAACCGUAAAAUUGCACUUGAUACUGGCAGCCUUGAGUACAGUUGAGGUAGGCGGAAUUCGUGGUGUAGCGGUGAAAUGCUUAGAUAUCACGAAGAACUCCGAUUGCGAAGGCAGGUUACUAAGCUGCCACUGACAUUGAUGCUCGAAAGUGUGGGUAUCAAACAGGAUUAGAUACCCCUGUAGUC
rnacentral:rRNA from 1 species